AGAGCGAACGCUGGCGGCAGGCCUAACACAUGCAAGUCGAGCGCCCGUAGCAAUACGGGAGCGGCAGACGGGAUAGUAACACGUGGGAACGCGCCCUUCGGUUCGGAAUAACUCAGGGAAACUUGAGCUAAUACCGGAUACGCCCUUACGGGGAAAGAUUUAUUGCCGAAGGAACGGCCCGCGUCCGAUUAGCUAGUUGGUGAGGUAAUGGCUCACCAAGGCGACGAUCGGUAGCUGGUCUGAGAGGAUGACCAGCAUCACUGGGACUGAGACACGGCCCAGACUCCUACGGGAGGCAGCAGUGGGGAAUAUUGGACAAUGGGCGCAAGCCUGAUCCAGCCAUGCCGCGUGGAUGAUGGAGGCCUUAGGGUUGUAAAGUCCUUUUAACGGGGAAGAUAAUGACGGUACCCGUAGAAUAAGCCCCGGCUAACUUCGCGCCAGCAGCCGC
rnacentral:rRNA from 1 species